UGGGAUCCUUCAGAGAGCGGUGGAGCAAGGAAUCAUUUCACCUAAACAAUCCGGAUUAUUAUCUUCAGAACCUUCAGUGGCAUCAAUUUAUCUAUUACCCAAGAAACCCUUCCCUCGUAUUUGAAAGAUACAAAUGACGUUUUGCGGAAACUGGACCACCUUCAAUUGGAACCUGACAUGAUAAUGGCAACAUGCGAUGUUGAGUUAUUGUACACGUCCAUACGCCAUAAGGACGGCAUAGAUGCGGGGAAUAGAUCGAGUAUAUGUUGGAGUUCGUGGGGGGGGGGGGGAUUGGAAAAAACGGCUUGCUCAAAAAGAAUGCAGAUGGAUUGAAGUUUUGGGCACUAAAGUCCCAGCUGGACUAAACGAGAUCAACA